UACGAAGGGGGCUAGCGUUGCUCGGAAUCACUGGGCGUAAAGCGCACGUAGGCGGAUCUUUAAGUCAGGGGUGAAAUCCUGGAGCUCAACUCCAGAACUGCCUUUGAUACUGGGGAUCUCGAGUCCGGAAGAGGUGAGUGGAACUCCGAGUGUAGAGGUGAAAUUCGUAGAUAUUCGGAAGAACACCAGUGGCGAAGGCGGCUCACUGGUCCGGUACUGACGCUGAGGUGCGAAAGCGUGGGGAGCAAAC
rnacentral:rRNA from 1 species